rnacentral:lncRNA from 1 species
AUAAUAGUUUGAUCUUGCCUGUUGGUUCAAUCAUUCUCUCGUUGCUUUAUCUGUCUUCUUUUCCAUCCGAUUUAAUUGGUGUGAGAUAUAGUGUUGAGCUAUCCGACCCAUGGUGUGACACCCGGGCACUGACGAGGGCGGGGAGUGAUCGCCGGUGCAAGAAGCAUGGUGCAGGGGGCACGGACAAGGAGCGACUCCUGGCAGGCUUCGAGUGGAAGGGGCACAUGGACGAAUCAAACAUACACCGGAAUGAGAGGGAUUUGGAGACUGUAUAGGUAUGAGACUAUACAGUUGAAGGAUAGCUUAAAGGAAUUGAUUUGGCUACCCAUAUCACCAAAAUGCAUUUACUUUUCGGAAGCCUAACCCAUAAGAACUUCAUGGUUAAUCGUGCUUAGCCUGGAGAAAUUCUGGGAUGGGUGACCUUCCGGGAAGUUUUCUCGGAAAGUGUGCGAGUGAGGACAAAACACACUGGAAAGUCUCGUGGUGAUGUGCGGGGGCAGUCAACAGUCCCUGUAAGUUGCCGGGGUGUUACAAAGCUCUGAUCAUGUGACACCCGGGCACUGACGAGGGCGGGGAGUGAUCGCCGGUGCAAGAAGCAUGGUGCAGGGGGCAUGGACAAGGAGCGGCUCCUGGCAGGCUUCGAGUGGAAGGGGCACAUGGACGAAUCGAACAUACACCGGAAUGAGAGGGAUUUGGAGACUGUAUAGGUAUGGGACUAUACACUUGAAGGAUAGCUUAAAGGAAUUGAUUUGGCUACCCAUAUCACCAAAAUGCAUUUACUUUUCGGAAGCCUAACCCAUAAGAACUCCAUGGUUAAGCGUGCUUAGCCUAAAG